rnacentral:lncRNA from 10 species
UCAUUCCUACGAAGACAGCCACUCUCUAGGAGAGCCCCGACCAGGAAAGAAGUUAGUUUCAGGUGCAUCCGACUGGGGGAGACACAGAGGAGGCCUCUCAACAAAACAGGAGGAUGCAGCUGGAGAAACUGGUUGUUUUACCAAGGCUUGGACUGGAAAGGGCAUGCUUCCCUUAAAAAAAUCAAGCUUGACUUGCAGAGCCAA